rnacentral:tmRNA from 1 species
UCACUUCACAUUAAGAUGACAGGCCCUAUAUGCGGUGGUGCCGGACCUGUCCGGCUAUGGCGAUAAAUUGCGGUGUGCAAUAGGCACAGCGGACCCGGGGGCAGUACCCGGCGGCUCCACCACCUCUCCUGGUGUCACAGGGGAAAUGACGGGGCCGAACCAGGAUCGACGUGUGUUGAAAAGCAUUGUUUUUGCCCGGGCUGAGUAACCCGUUCAAGGCUCAAAACUCACAAGUGCCAAUGACAAUGAAGCACUUGCUCUCGCUGCGUAAUUCUAGGGGCUAACGCCCUGACUUUACAAAGCCAAGAGCACGGUUCGGACCGAACCGGGUAACAGAAUCGGAAACC